UACGUAGGGCGCAAGCGUUGUUCGGAAUUACUGGGCGUAAAGGGCUCGUAGGCGGCCAACUAAGUCGGACGUGAAAUCCCCAGGCUCAACCUGGGAACUGCGUCUGAUACUGGAUGGCUUGAAUCCGGGAGAGGGAUGCAGAAUUCCAGGUGUAGCGGUGAAAUGCGUAGAUAUCUGGAGGAAUACCGGUGGCGAAGGCGGCAUCCUGGACCGAGAUUGACACUGAUGAGCGAAAGCUAGGGGAGCAAACGGG
rnacentral:rRNA from 1 species